AUACCAUGAUGAGGGCAUCUCCUUAACAACUCCUUAAUUUCUCAAGCCUCAUACAAACUUUCAUCUUCAAUUUGAUGAAAAGAGGUGAGUUCAUUCCGUAAUUUU
rfam:Citrus sinensis cultivar Ridge Pineapple sweet orange scaffold02074_contig_4, whole genome shotgun sequence.